ACAUUUGCAUUUGGGUUAAUUGCAUACAAGUUCUCACAAACAUAGUGAAUUACAAAUAUAUUUCUAUAAAAUUCAACUUUCAUAAAUUAAUAAGUUAUUUCUACAAAUGUUUCAAUAUUUUUAGAUAUAUUCCUCUGAUUUGUUACCAUUAGAGAACCGUUUAUAUUUCUAAUUUUUCCAUCACAAAUAUAUCCCUGAGUAAAAUAAAUAUAUUAAUUCUUAUCUAGUUUUACCUUACA
rnacentral:lncRNA from 1 species